rnacentral:rRNA from 1 species
CCUACGGGAGGCAGCAGUGAGGAAUAUUGGUCAAUGGGAGAGAUCCUGAACCAGCCAAGCCGCGUGAGGGAAGACGGCCCUAUGGGUUGUAAACCUCUUUUGUCGGAGAACAAAACCCGGGACGUGUCCCGGACUGCGUGUAUCCGAAGAAAAAGCAUCGGCUAACUCCGUGCCAUCGGCCGCGGUAAGACGGAGGAUGCGAUCGUUAUCCGGAUUUGUUGGGUUUAAAGGGUGCGUAGGCGGUCCGUUAAGUCAGCGGUAAAAUUGCGGGGCUAAACCCUGUCGAGCCGUUGAAACUGGCAGACUUGAGUCGGCGAGAGGGAGGCGGAAUGCGCGGUGUAGCGGUGAAAUGCAUAGAUAUCGCGAAGAACUCCGAUUGCGAAGGCAGCGUACCGGCGCCAGACUGACGCUGAGGCACGAAAGCGUGGGGAGCGAACAGGAUUAGAUACCCUAGUAGUC